UUUCUAUAAAGCCGGCAGGCGAAAUUUGACGUGGUUGAAAAUUUUCAGAGACAUACAUACAUAUUUCAAGAGAAAAAUAUGGAAGGAAAAGUUACCGUCCUUACACCGAAUAAUAGAAGGCAAAAUGUUAAGGUUACACCUAAUACGACUAUACUACAGAUUUUAGAAGAGGUUUGCCAGAAACACGAUUUAGACAGUAAUGAAUACUGUCUAAAGCAUCACAACAAAGAAGUCGGCCUCACUCAAAUGUUUCGCUUUAGCGGGCUUCCUAACAAUUGCUUAUUGGAAAUGUCACACACCGAACGCAGACGGACCGAGUCAAACGUAAACAUUUGUGUGCAACUGGAAGAUGGAUCGCGUGCUCAAGGCCAGUUUAAGCCCAACAAUAGCCUUUGGCAAGUGAUAGAACAGCUCGGUGCUGAAGCAAUAAAGAGUUAUACAAGCCCCGUAGCGAUUUAUAUGCGGCAAGAUAUUAUCGGUAAAGAGCGUAUGCAGGAGACGACGCUUAAGUCAUUAGGUAUUAUCGAAGGCCGGGCGAUGAUUCGAGUCAUAAAUAAAACGGCGGAAGAUUUGAAGUCGCAAGCCAAUGUUUACAUACCACCAACAGUCAAAGUUGAUGAAAAUAUAGCAGCAACAACGGUGGCUCCACAAAAUAGUACAGUCAAACAAAGCGGAGGUGGGGGAUUUGCAAUAACGAAAGAUUUAGUACAGUCACUUAAAAAAUCGAAUAGCGAGAUUAAUGAGAAAAGUGAUAUUAAGGAGGAGAUCACACCCGUCGAUGCGUCUUCCAUGGACAAUGAAACUCAAAAACCCAAGUACGAUUGGGGUUCGGGCACCGGUUAUUCUAUACAAGAUUCGUUCCAUGCACAGAAUACUGCCAAAAAUCUCAGUGAUGUAGCAGACCAAGAACAAGACGAAAUGGAUAUAGAGCCGGAAGUGCAUAUUAUUGGCGAACGAAACGCUGUGCUUUAUUCUCUGGAUGAUACACAAACUCAGGCUGAAGAGUUACCUGAUUCAUUCUUCGAUUUAACAGUUGAAGACCUUAGAUUGGUAUUACGCGAUUUAAAAAAGGUGUCAAAAGGUGAUGAAAACUCACCGCUACUCACUGAACGAUUGCGUAAACUGGAAGAGCAAAAAACUAUGUUGAACAAAAUUGGGCAAUAUAAGAAUUGCGUGUUACGAAUCCAAUUUCCAGAUCGAUUUGUACUUCAAGGUAUUUUCAAGCCCAUCGAUAAAAUAUCCGAUGUUGUGGAUUUUGUGCGGAAGUUCUUGCACGAUGAAAAAGCAAAUUUCUAUUUGUUUACCAUACCUCCGAAAUACAUUUUGCCUUUGGAUCAAUCGCUGUUGGAAUUAAAUUUCGUGCCUACUGCAGUGCUGCACUUCGUCUUCCAAGAUAAGGAGGAAAAUGCUAAUAUGGCGAAUAAAUCAGUUGAACCGAUCUAUUUGAAGUCAGAGCUGAAGGAUAAGCUCACAACUGUAGAAGGCGCAUUUUAUGCAGCAAAUAAAAUGCGUAUCUCGAAUGCUAGAGUCUCAAAAUCAAGUGCAAAUGACGGUAGUGAUUCCUUACUGCGUGAGCAAAACGAGCAAAGAAGUGCCGACACAUCGAUGGGUGCCAUACCGAAAAAACAGAAAAAUAGUAAUCUUAACAGUAUGAUUUGAUAAAUACAAAAAAAAAAAACAAUAAUAAUAAUAAAAAAAAAAACAAGUGGAAUUUUGUAUAUUGGAUAAAGAAUAUCUAAUUUUCACACAAUAAUAUACAAUGUAUGCAAAAUCAUGAUAGCUGAUUACAUUCAUCUGGCUUAAAUAUGGGAUUGUAAGGAUACGCUUUUACUUGAAUUUACAAUAAAGUGCAUUUCUACUACAUACACAAAUAUAUUUAUACUAUAUUGUACAUGUAAAUGUUAAUGUUAUAAAUGUUUUCACUUUGUAUAAGCAAAUGUUUUCAAAAAAUA